GCUCUUUUUCAUAUCACUCAUCGCUGCUAUGGGCAGACCCCAGUUUGCUACUGGGUCCCAGAAGUGCUGCAAUCAAACAGAAACAUAUUCAUGCAUAUUGGAUUUUUUUAAACAAGUGCACCUCAAGUACUCCCAAAACUCCUUGCUCUUCAGCUGGUUGGUUGGCAAGUUUGUGAAACAAAAUGCCGACCGUUGCAAUUGAAUAUGCAUGCUUCUGUGUUUCAUUGUGACUCUUUUAAACUGAAAUGUGAAGGUGACAUCACCCAUUCUAUAGAAAAUCUUUCAUCUACAACAUUUACUGCUGCAAAUCUGUUUGAGUGAGCUGGAUGAAAGUCUGCUGACAAUACAGCCUCCCCCUCAGGGCCUGAUUUUGGCUGGCCUGGCAGACCUGAGUCGACCUGCUGACAAGCUGAGUACCAUCCAGUCUGCAGUACUGACUGCCACAGGUACAGCACUGGAGUGGGGUGCUGCAAUUUUGGUACAUUGUGUACGGGGAAAACGAGGUGAGAUUUGGCAGAAGUGCAGCACUCCUUGGCUAUGUGACCAACCUGUGAUAGCUUACCAUGGUGGUGAAUGGUGCAGGAAUUGUUGAUAUGAGUUUUUAUAUCAGCCCAUCUCUCACCCAGGCUUCAUGUGGGCCAGAUACUCUCUGAUAAUUGUCCUAAAGAACUGGAACCUUUUUACAGUAACAUUUGUUGGUGCUUCUGACAGUUUCCAGCUGUUCAGAAUCUGGAGGUGAGUAGGCCUCUGCUGCUGAAGCAGAAGGAACCGGAGGCAGCAGCGCAGUACUGAGCUCCAACCUUUCCAUCUGGUCCCAUAGACUAAAAGGAUAUCUGACCACUUGACUCCACUCCCCUCCAACCCUGUCCAAAUCUUUAACCGGAAAAUAUUUAUUUCAUUGCUUAAACAUUGGUCCUUAGUACACCCCUCUCCAUGUGCAGACUCCAGGCACAUGAGGUACUGCCAGCACCAAGACCAGGAUGGGCUGCAUGGGAGCCAGAGCAAAGCUGAACAGGGAGACCAUUAAAGAUGCCCAGGGAACAGAACAGACUGGACUUGGCCCAAUUGUAGUUCCUUAGAGGCAGUUCCAGAACCUCAGACUAGGGCUGUGUCUGAAUUUGGGAGCUGCAAACUUUGAAGGACGCGGUCUAUAAAUGAGUAGCCUUGAGUCAUGAAGCGUUUCUCCUAUUGCCUAGCCUGGACACACCUACUUUACCUCUGUGCAAUGAGUCUUGGGAUAUGGUGGACUGUGAAGUAUCCAUCAGGUGGAUCCUUCGCGACUUGACAAAAGGAAGACCUGUUUCUACACUGCAUUUGAAGGAAGCGUCGAAAUAGGACUGCUUUGUCACACCACUGUGACACACACGGACUUCAAAUGCAGUCUUCAAAGGAUGCACUCCCUGAAUUUGGACACAGCCUAGGCACUUACCGUUCGACCAUGAACUACUGGGGAGGCACUUACAGCGAUAACUUGCCAACAACAGCUGUUUUUCUUAUUAAAAGUUUCAUCGCACUGAUAAA